rnacentral:SRP_RNA from 1 species
CGUUGGGCCCUGUGCAACAGGAUGCUGUAAAUCCCGCCAGGUCCGGAAGGAAGCAACGGUAAGCAGUUAUUGUGUGUGCCGCAGGAUCACCUGAUGGCC